GAGCCAGGAAACUCCUGGGCCACCACCUUAUCCCCAAGAAAGGACAACGCCCUUGUGAGUUACUGGGAGUCGACUAUUUAGGAAAACGUUGCUAUCGCCGGGGUUUCCAUUUGGAAGCUAAUGGAAGUGACUGAAUGACUGAAGGAGAGGGGUUCAAGACCUCAUUGGAGGAAGCAACUGUGAAUAUGGAAAUAGCAAGAGAACUGGAAUUAAAAAUGGAGCCUGAAGAUGUGACUGAUUUGCCACAAUUUUGUGAUAAAACUUUAAGUAAUGAAUAGUUGCUUCUUACAGAUGAGCAAAGAAAUUGGUUUCUUGAGAUAAAAUUUACUCCUGCUGAAGAUAUUCAGAAUGGUAUUGAAAUGACAACAAAUGAUUUAAAAUAAUCACAUCGAUGUAAUUGAUGAAACAACAAGGAUUGAGAGGGUUGACUCUUACUCUGAAAGAAAAUUUACUCAAGGCAGAAUGCAAAUAGCUUUCCUGCUAUGAAGAAAUAUUUUGUGAAAGCAAACUUUAAUUGAUGGGGCAAAAUUUAUUUAAAUUUAAUAAAUGCAAUUUAUUUAACAGAAAAUAUAAAUUUUAAGAAAUUACCGCAGCCACCUCAGCCUUCAGCAACCAUGACUCUAAUCAGUCAUCAGUUAUCAAAAAGAAGGCAUGACCAACAAGAAACAUUAAAUCUUUCUUUAAGCUCUGAUGAUUAUUAGCAUUUUUAGCAACAAAGUAUUUUUUUAGUUAAGGAUACAGCUUUUAUUAGAGAUAUACUAGUGCACACUUGAUAGGCUAUAGUAAUGUAAACAUUUACAUGUUCCAGAAAAUAAAAAAUUUAUGUGACUUGCUCUAUUGAAAUAUUGGUUUUAUCAUGGUAGUAUAGAAAUGCACCCACAAUAUCUUAGGUAUGACACUAUAUCAACCCACUGCCCUCUGGCCUCCAAAGUCUCUUAUGUGUACUGGUAAUCUUAUUAUGAAUUCGUUAUAUGUGAGAACACUCAUUUCCUAUUUCAAGAUUCUUAUUUUUAGCUUUUGACAUUUUGACUGCAAUGUGUCUCAAUGUAGGUGUCUUUGACUUCAUUUCAAUUUGAGUUUAUUGAGAUUCUUUGAUGUUUAUAUUUAAGUCUUUUAUCAAAUUUGGAACUCUUCAGCCUUUAUAUCCUCAAAUAUAUCUCUG
rnacentral:lncRNA from 1 species